ACAUUAUCAUUCAGAAAUAUGCGUAAUCACAACCGUGCAUGACUAAUGCAUGGUCGUAGUCUCAGGUUUCAUUAAGAAACUCCUGCAUACAAGUCCUACGGAACGCUUUUUUAUGAUUACCGUGGUAUGACUCAGUUUUACUGUUACAAAGUUAUCCCUCUAGUAAGAUUAAACAUUAAAGGAAAUAUAAGCAGGGUUGCAGAAAUAUUUGAUGAGAAUGACAAUAAUCAUGACGACGGUGGGAAGUUUUAGGGAUACAGAGCUGAUCAGCGUUUAACGUUUUACUCAGCUCGACUCGGAAACCUGCUGGACAGAGAUGUUUGUCUAUUGGAGGACUCUUUUUAAUCGUCGGGAUGAACACAAGAGACUCGGCGAGUGUGUGAACGAUGCCGCUCGGGCAUUACUGCUGCUUCUGCAUGCGCACGCAAAACCUUACUACAAGUGUAAAGCAGACUGCUUCACGUUGGAACUGUAUCACAUCAUCACAGCGUAACCAUAACAACACAACAAUAGAAUUUGUAAUGGUUUUAAUGGGAAUGGUAUUGGUUUUUAAUAGAAACUGUAAUAGUAGCUCUGGGUCUCUACGGGUAAUUUGUUGCCUUCUAUUGGUGGCAUGGUUUAACUGAUGGAUUCCAUUAAGGACAAUAAUGCAGGGAACACUUCCCACUAGACCAUGAUGUUUGUUGGUAAAUGAGACCUUUUACCUGUACUCAUGUUUGACGCACUUGAACUGAAG